CGCCCCCUUGAUCCACACUCCCUAGAACAGGUUGAGAAUACGGCUAACCGUGACUGUGAAGUUACUAUGAAAGUUACAGGCAGCACCCCUGUCACACCCUUUAAGCCACGGAAUGAUAGCUGUACAGUACGCCCCCUUGAUCCACACUCCCUAGAACAAGAUGAUAAUACGGCUAACCGUGAUUGUGAUGUUAUUAUGAAAUUUACAAGCAGAACCCCAGUCACACUCUUUAAGCCACGGUUGAUGAAUGGCCAUGGGUCAAGUUCUUCAAAAGGAACAAUAAGUUGUGGACAUUAAAUGAUGUGAAACACACAGGUCUUGAAACCGAUGCCAUGAAGAAGACUGCUCAUCCAUACAUAUUUAUGUUUGGA